rnacentral:rRNA from 1 species
GAUGAACGCUAGCGACAGGCCUAACACAUGCAAGUCGAGGGGCAGCACAUGAGUAGCAAUACGAUGGUGGCGACCGGCGCACGGGUGAGUAACACGUAUGCAACCUGCCUGUAAGAGGGGGAUAACCCGGAGAAAUUCGGACUAAUACCGCAUAAUACCACGAGACUGCAUGGUUUUGUGGUUAAACAUUUAUGGCUUACAGAUGGGCAUGCGUAUGAUUAGAUAGUUGGUAGGGUAACGGCCUACCAAGUCUACGAUCAUUAGGGGUUCUGAGAGGAAGGUCCCCCACACUGGUACUGAGACACGGACCAGACUCCUACGGGAGGCAGCAGUGAGGAAUAUUGGUCAAUGGGCGAGAGCCUGAACCAGCCAAGUCGCGUGAAGGAAGAAGGUUCUAUGGAUUGUAAACUUCUUUUGCAGGGGAAUAAAGGACGGUACGUGUACUGUUUUGUAUGUACCUUGCGAAUAAGGAUCGGCUAACUCCGUGCCAGCAGCCGAC